ensembl:snRNA U6 U6 spliceosomal RNA
GUGCUCACUUCGGCAGCGCAUACACUAAAAUUGGAACAAGGCAGAGAACACUCGCAUGGCCCCGCGCAAGGGUGCCCUGCAGAGACUAUAAGUGUAGUGCUUAGGU